CGGACGGGUGAGUAAUGCCUAGGAAUCUGCCUGGUAGUGGGGGACAACGUUUCGAAAGGAACGCUAAUACCGCAUACGUCCUACGGGAGAAAGCAGGGACCUUCGGGCCUUGCGCUAUCAGAUGAGCCUAGGUCGGAUUAGCUAGUUGGUGAGGUAAUGGCUCACCAAGGCGACGAUCCGUAACUAGUUUGAGAGGAUGAUCAGUCACACUGGAACUGAGACACGGUCCAGACUCCUACGGGAGGCAGCAGGG
rnacentral:rRNA from 1 species